CAAAGGAGGCACCCCCCUACUGAAAGAGCUUUCUGCUUUAUGAUUCCAGGUGUCCGAUGCUAUCACUAGACCAGGGAAGUGGUGAGCUGCCUGUCUCGAGGGAUGAACCAGCAGAACUGGAAGGGGGUGGAUCACUGUGCCGUGGAAAGAUUAAGGACCAGGGUGGGCUCAAUGAGCCGUGGGCGUCUGUCCCCCUUGGGAUUAGCACCGCUGGGUCUCUGUCAGCAUUCGUGACACACGGCUGGGAGCUGCUUCCCCUGGUGAUAUCCAGUUGUGCCCGAGUGGGGGCCGGCCAUCAGCUCACCGACCAACAUCAGAGAGCAUCCCCCAGCCUGGCUGAGCCUGUCACCUGCAGCAGCCCCACGAUGAAUCUUGCAGGACUGGGGAGAACCCCUGGAGGCCGAGGAGCUGAGGAGAUGAGUCGAUGA
rnacentral:lncRNA from 1 species